rnacentral:pre_miRNA from 10 species
AGUGAUAUUGCUGGGUCAAAUGGGAGCUAGUUUUUUGAGAAAUAUCCAUAUUUUUUUUCAAAAAGGCUGUCCAUUUUACAUUACCACCAGCAGU